rnacentral:rRNA from 1 species
CGGUCUCCUCCCAAAGAGUAACGGAGGAGUUCGAAGGUUACCUAGGUCCGGUCGGAAAUCGGACUGAUAGUACAAUGGCACAAGGUAGCUUAACUGCGAGACCGACAAGUCGAGCAGGUGCGAAAGCAGGACAUAGUGAUCCGGUGGUUCUGAAUGGAAGGGCCAUCGCUCAACGGAUAAAAGGUACUCCGGGGAUAACAGGCUGAUUCCGCCCAAGAGUUCAUAUCGACGGCGGAGUUUGGCACCUCGAUGUCGGCUCAUCACAUCCUGGGGCUGUAGUCGGUCCCAAGGGUAUGGCUGUUCGCCAUUUAAAGUGGUACGUGAGCUGGGUUUAAAACGUCGUGAGACAGUUUGGUCCCUAUCUGCAGUGGGCGUUGGAAGUUUGACGGGGGCUGCUCCUAGUACGAGAGGACCGGAGUGGACGAACCUCUGGUGUACCGGUUGUGACGCCAGUCGCAUCGCCGGGUAGCUAAGUUCGGAAGAGAUAAACGCUGAAAGCAUCUAAGCGUGAAACUCGCCUGAAGAUGAGACUUCCCUAGGGAUUUAAUCCCUCUAAAGAGACGUUCGAGACCAGGACGUUGAUAGGUCGGGUGUGGAAGAGUGGUAACACUUGCAGCUAACCGAUACUAAUUGCUCGUGAGGCUUGACUCUAU